rnacentral:rRNA from 1 species
AGCCUUUAGCAAUACAAGUAUUAAAGGUCCCGCCUGCCCAGUGAAACCAUUCAACGGCCGCGGUAUUCUAACCGUGCAAAGGUAGCGUAAUCACUUGUCUUCUAAAUAAAGACCAGUAUGAACGGCUAAAUGAGGACAAACCUGUCUCUUAUGGUCAAUCAGUGAAACUGAUUUUCCAGUACAAAAGCUGGAAUAAUCACAUAAGACGAGAAGACCCCGUGGAGCUUCAAACAAAUCACUAAACAGAUUAGUGUGCUGUUUUAAGUUGGGGCGACUUCGGAAUAAAGAAAAACUUCCGAGCACAGAACCACUGCUUCUAACUAAGGUUAACAGACCUAAGUACAAAACUGAUCCGGCCACGCCGACCAACGAACCAAGUUACCCCGGGGAUAACAGCGCUAUCUUCUUCUAGAGUCCAUAUCAACAAGAAGGUUUACGACCUCGAUGUUGGAUCAGGACACCCAAAUGGUGCAGCCGCUAUUAAAGGUUCGUUUGUUCAACGAUUAAUAGUCCU